GAGUUUAAUCGUGGCUCAGGAUGAACGCUGGCGGCGUGCCUAACACAUGCAAGUCGAGCGAAGCAUACAGGAGGAAGUUUUCGGAUGGAAUCCUGCAUGGCUGAGCGGCGGACGGGUGAGUAACGCGUGGGUAACCUGCCUUAUACAGGGGGAGUAACAGUUAGAAAUAGACUGCUAAUAACCGCCAUAAGACGCACAGUACCGCAUGGUAGUGUGUGAAAACUACC
rnacentral:rRNA from 1 species